rnacentral:rRNA from 1 species
AUACGGAGGGGGCUAGCGUUGUUCGGAAUUACUGGGCGUAAAGGGCGCGUAGGCGGCCCGCCAAGUCCGGCGUGAAAGUCCUGGGCUCAACCCGGGGACGGCGCUGGAGACUGGCGGGCUGGAGUCCGGGAGAGGGUGGCGGAAUUCCCAGUGUAGAGGUGAAAUUCGUAGAUAUUGGGAAGAACACCGGUGGCGAAGGCGGCCACCUGGCCCGGGACUGACGCUGAGGCGCGAAAGCGUGGGGAGCAAACAGGAUUAGAUACCCUGGUAGUCCACGCCGUAAACGAUGCGUGCUAGACGUCGGGGGGCAUGCCCUUCGGUGUCGCAAGCCAACGCGUUAAGCACGCCGCCUGGGGAGUACGGCCGCAAGGUUAAA